rnacentral:rRNA from 1 species
UGGGGAGUACGGUCGCAAGAUUAAAACUCAAAGGAAUUGACGGGGACCCGCACAAGCGGUGGAUGAUGUGGUUUAAUUCGAUGCAACGCGAAAAACCUUACCUACCCUUGACAUGUCUGGAAUUUCGCAGAGAUGUGAAAGUGCUCGAAAGAGAACCAGAACACAGGUGCUGCAUGGCCGUCGUCAGCUCGUGUCGUGAGAUGUUGGGUUAAGUCCCGCAACGAGCGCAACCCUUGUCAUUAGUUGCUACGAAAGGGCACUCUAAUGAGACUGCCGGUGACAAACCGGAGGAAGGUGGGGAUGACGUCAGGUCCUCAUGGCCCUUAUGGGUAGGGCUACACACGUCAUACAAUGGCCGGUACAGGGGGCUGCCAACCCGCGAGGGGGAGCUAAUCCCAGAAAACCGGUCGUAGUCCGGAUCGCAGUCUGCAACUCGACUGCGUGAAGUCGGAAUCGCUAGUAAUCGCGGAUCAGCUUGCCGCGGUGAAUACGUUCCCGGGUCU